UACGUAGGGGGCAAGCGUUGUCCGGAAUCAUUGGGCGUAAAGAGCGCGUAGGCGGCCCAGUAAGUCCGCUCUGAAAGCCAGAGGCUCAACCUCUGAAUGCGGGUGGAUACUGCUGGGCUAGAGUCCGGAAGAGGCGAGUGGAAUUCCUGGUGUAGCGGUGAAAUGCGCAGAUAUCAGGAGGAACACCGAUGGCGAAGGCAGCUCGCUGGGACGGUACUGACGCUGAGACGCGAAAGCGUGGGGAGCAAACAGG
rnacentral:rRNA from 1 species